GCAGGCACGCAAAUUUACCCCAAUGAUCGAAGAUCGAGGUAGUGACGAAAAAUAACGAUCCAGGACUCAUCCGAGGCCCUGGAAUCGGAAUGAGUACACUUUAAAACCGUCCCCGAGGAUCUAUUGGAGGGCAAGUCUGGUGCCAGCAGCCGCGGUAAUUCCAGCNCCAAUAGCGUAUAUUAAAGUUGUUGUGGUUAAAAAGCUCGUAGUUGGAUCUCGGCGGACUGAGGGCGGUUUGCUUGCUAGUAUUACUGCCCUAUAGUCCGUAGUUUUGCCAGAGGUUUCGAGGUGCUCUUAAUCGAGUGUCCCGGGAUGCUGGCAGGUUUACUUUGAAAAAAUUAGAGUGCUCAAAGCAGGCUAUUACGCCUGAAUAUUCGUGCAUGGAAUAAUAGAAUAGGAAGUCGUUUCUAUUUUGUUGGUUUUCGGAAAUCGACUUAAUGAUUCAUAGGGACAGUCGGGGGCAUUUGUAUUCAAACGACAGAGGUGAAAUUCUUGGACCGUUUGAAGACAAACUACUGCGAAAGCAUUUGCCAAGAAUGUUUUCAUUAAUCAAGAACGAAAGUUAAAGGUUCGAAGGCGAUUAGAUACCGCCCUAGUUUUAACCAUAAACGAUGCCAGCUAGCGAUCUGCGGACGUUUUUUUUGUAGACUCCGCAGGAAGCUUCCGGGAAACCAAAGCAUUUGGGUUCCAGGGGAAGUAUGGUUGCGAAGAU
rnacentral:rRNA from 1 species